rnacentral:rRNA from 1 species
UACGGAGGGGAGCAAGCGUUGUUCGGAUUUACUGGGCGUAAAGGGCGCGUAGGCGGCCACGACAAGUCACUUGUGAAAUCUCCGGGCUUAACCCGGAAAGGUCAAGUGAUACUGUCGGGCUAGAGUGCAGAAGGGGCAACUGGAAUUCUCGGUGUAGCGGUGAAAUGCGUAGAUAUCGAGAGGAACACCUGCGGCGAAGGCGGCCCGCUGGGCAGGAAGGCUCGCAAGAGCCGGCUGACACUGAGGCGCGACGAGCGUGGGGGAGCAAACAGG